rnacentral:rRNA from 1 species
AAUAUUGGACAAUGGGGGCAACCCUGAUCCAGCCAUGCCGCGUGAGUGAUGAAGGCCUUAGGGUUGUAAAGCUCUUUCAGUGGGGAAGAUAAUGACGGUACCCACACAAGAAGCACCGGCUAACUUCGUGCCAGCAGCAGCGGGAAUACGUAGGGGGCUAGCGUUGUUCGGAUUUACUGGGCGUAAAGCGCACGUAGGCGGAUUUGUCAGUUAGGGGUGAAGUCCCGGAGCUCAACUCCGGAACUGCCUUUAAUACUGCCAGUCUAGAGUCCGAGAGAGGUGAGUGGAACUCCUAGUGUAGAGGUGGAAUUCGUAGAUAUUAGGAAGAGCACCAGUGGCGAAGGCGGCUUACUGGCUCGGUACUGACGCUGAGGUGCGAAAGCGUGGGGAGCAAAC